rnacentral:rRNA from 1 species
UACGAAGGGGGCUAGCGUUGCUCGGAAUUACUGGGCGUAAAGGGCGCGUAGGCGGACAGUUUAGUCAGAGGUGAAAGCCCAGGGCUCAACCUUGGAAUAGCCUUUGAUACUGGCUGUCUUGAGUUCGGGAGAGGUGAGUGGAAUGCCGAGUGUAGAGGUGAAAUUCGUAGAUAUUCGGCGGAACACCAGUGGCGAAGGCGACUCACUGGCCCGAUACUGACGCUGAGGCGCGAAAGCGUGGGGAGCAAGCAGG